GAUGAAGAACGUAGCGAAAUGCGAUAAGUAAUGUGAAUUGCAGAAUUCAGUGAAUCAUCGAAUCUUUGAACGCACCUUGCGCUCCUUGGUAUUCCGAGCAGCAUGCCUGUUUGAGUGUCAUUAAUAUAUCAACCUCUUCAGCUUAUGCUUGUUGAGUGUUGGAUGGUGGGGGUUUGCUGGUGUCUUAUGAAGUCAGCUCCUCUGAAAUGCAUUAGCGGAACAAUUUGUUGACCGUUCAUUGGUGUGAUAAAAAUAUCUACGCUAUUGACGUCAGUCAGUUCAGCUUCUAACAGUCCAUUGACUUGGACAAAUUUUUCAUUAAUGUGACCUCAAAUCAGGUAGGACUACCCGCUGAACUUAAGCAUAUCAAUAAGCGGAGGA
rnacentral:misc_RNA from 1 species